CAUGCAUGGACAUGAUGUUUUAAUGUUAAUUGCUAUUUCAAAUGUUAGGUCUCUUGAAAGAAACUGCGGAUGCUAUAAAGUAGACUAUAUUAAAAUCGCAGUGUCUGUCCGUUGGUCCGCCUAUACCCAUUAAACAACUCGAGAAUCAGAAAGAGACGUCCAUGAAAUUUGAUAUUGGGGAGUUUUACUGAAAUAUGUUGAGACCAAUUUUGGUUUAGUCAGAUAAGUAAAUGACAAAAAAAAAUGUUGGCGCAAGUAUAGUGACGAUAGUGACAAUAACUUCGUGAAUACUCAGGGAACUGAAAAAUGUUGCGAACAAAAGUUACCGAAAAACUUGAAAUUUGUAUUUCAUUCUCCGCGUAGUUUUCCGUUAAGUCUUGCGAUUUGUGAGGUUAAUUGUUCCUCUAUUCCUGCGUUUCCUAACUUCUGUUAUAUAGUAAUCAAACACAUGAAGACUUAAGUAAUCAACAAAGGUUAUUCGAACAAAAGAGAAGAUAAACGAAGUCUCUUAUUUUCUACAAUUAAACGAAGCUUCUACCACAUUUUUUAGGCUAAAUGUGGCUGUAUAUAAAUAUAUAUUUAAUGACACAUAAUUAACAUAAGAGCAUAAAUGCUCCUUUGAGCUUUUGAUCUGGAUGAAUAAGCUCUUUUGAGAUUUUGAGUAGCUGCAUCUAGACUAUAAAAUCAUAACAAUACUGCAUGAAAUGAUACGCAGUAAGAUGACAAGAUGCUGUACAUGCUUGUUGCAGGUAAUACUAAUUCUGUCAGUCUGCCAUAUGCAAACAUAAUCUUCAUGGCAAAUGUUUACUUAGAGCUUCUUUAAAACAUUUAUUUUUUCAAUAUUAGAUGCUACAGUUAAGCACUUAAACAUGACUGGAUUGUGUGUAUGCAGAGCCAAAAAUAUGUGCAUAGUUCUUCAGAAAUGCUCUUUUCCUUCUGUACUGCAAAUGAUUAUGUGAGAAUUUUAAAAUUCAAUGAUCCAUGUGAGAAGUGAAUAGAAUUUAUUUUUGAGUACACUUACAAUUGAUUCUCUAUUAACCACCCAAUAGUUCUCUUUUACAUAAAUUUAUAUGUUAAAAUUAUGAAUAUUUCCUUUAAAGAAGAAUUAAUAAUGUUUUUAAAAAUACAAAAUUAGAAAUGUUAAUGACAUGAUCAUAUUCACAAAUUAUAAUUAAAAUAGUAAUUAAACUCAAAUAGAAUGCACAAAUGCAAAAAGAAAAUGACUAUAUUCAGUCCCAUAGCCCCAACAACAUUGUAAAGGUAAUUACUACAUCUUCUGGGUGAAAUUAAAGUGGGUUUGGUUGAAUUGUAUGGAGCCUGGUGCAGUUUCUCUCCACUUAUAUUCAGAAGGUAGAGGCAGUAGGUUCUCAGCAACAUUAAAAAAAAUAACAUAAGCAGAUAUAUAACGUUUCAUAUUUAAUUUACUGCUUCUCAUGCUAAUAACACAAAGUCAGUCAUAACAUGACCACUGAAAAUGCCUGAGAAGUGAAAAAGCAACAUGAAGCAAAUCAAAGUAUGAUACAAGACUUAUAUAAUGCCAAAUGGAAAGUUUUCUUCUAAUUUUUAUUCAAUACUUUAUCCUUCAGACUCCAUAAGCUAUGUAGUAUACAAUUUUAUAUAAUUUUAUGAUAACAUAAAUACAUAUGGUCAUCAGUCUUAGCUGCCACGCAAUGUUUUGGAUGUAAGCAACAAUGGAAAAAUAUGAACUGGUACAUAAUAUACAGAUGGUCAUUUAUUCCCUGUUAUAUAUUAGACUAUAUUCAGUCCCAUAGCCCCAACAACAUUGUAAAGGUAAUUACUACAUCUUCUGGGUGAAAUUAAAGUGGGUUUGGUUGAAUUGUAUGGAGCCUGGUGCAGUUUCUCUCCACUUAUAUUCAGAAGGUAGAGGCAGUAGGUUCUCAGCAACAUUAAAAAAAAUAACAUAAGCAGAUAUAUAACGUUUCAUAUUUAAUUUACUGCUUCUCAUGCUAAUAACACAAAGUCAGUCAUAACAUGACCACUGAAAAUGCCUGAGAAGUGAAAAAGCAACAUGAAGCAAAUCAAAGUAUGAUACAAGACUUAUAUAAUGCCAAAUGGAAAGUUUUCUUCUAAUUUGUAUUCAAUACUUUAUCCUUCAGACUCCAUAAGCUAUGUAGUAUACAAUUUUAUAUAAUUUUAUGAUAACAUAAAUACAUAUGGUCAUCAGUCUUAGCUGCCACGCAAUGUUUUGGAUGUAAGCAACAAUGGAAAAAUAUGAACUGGUACAUAAUAUACAGAUGGUCAUUUAUUCCCUGUUAUAUAUUAAUAUAAUAUGAUUAGAGUAUGGAAUGUCAUGGGGCUCUUGCUUAAAUUAAGAUCAUAAUUUUCUAGCAGACUUUCCAUUUGUGAUUUGUAACUGUUUCAAGGAAAACUGUUAUGAUUUUCCAGAUGUUUAUUAUAAAAUGAAUUGACAACACUAUCCAGUGUCUCAGUAUAUAUUUAUAUAGCGCCUUUACAUGUUUCAGUCAGUUGUGACCAUUUUCAGAAGGCCAAAACAUGUAAAGGUACUACAUAAAUAUAUAUUGAGUCACAUUGGAUGGUGCUGUCAAUUCAUUUUAUAAUAAUUAACUAGUGUGACAGACCAGAAUGAAUAAAGUUAAAACUUUUCCAGAUGUUUCUUAGGACACAAAAAUAUGCAUUACUUUUUACAUUUACAUUAUGUAUA